rfam:Nomascus leucogenys chromosome 19, whole genome shotgun sequence.
GCCGGGCGCGGUGGCUCACGCCUGUAGUCCCAGCACUUUGGGAGGCGGAGGUGGGUGGAUUGCUUGAGGUCAGGAGUUCGAGACCAGCCUGGCCAACAUAGCGAAAACCCAUCUCUA